AUGUCCAAAGAAAAGUCCUUCGACACCAAAAAGUUCUUGAUCGAUCUCGCCUCAGGAGGUACCGCUGCUGCCGUCUCCAAGACCGCUGUUGCCCCAAUUGAGCGUGUCAAGCUUCUCCUCCAGGUCCAAGAUGCUUCCAAGGCUAUCGCCGUUGACAAGCGUUACAAGGGAAUCAUGGAUGUUCUCAUCCGUGUCCCAAAGGAGCAAGGAGUUGCUGCCCUCUGGAGAGGAAACCUCGCUAACGUCAUCCGGUACUUCCCAACUCAGCCACCUCCCUCUGCUUCGUCUACCCACUCGACUUUGCCCGUACCCGUCUUGCUGCUGAUAUUGGAAAGGCCAACGACCGUGAAUUCAAGGGACUUGCUGACUGCCUUAUCAAGAUCGUGAAAUCCGAUGGACCAAUCGGACUCUACAGAGGAUUCUUCGUCUCCGUGCAAGGAAUUAUCAUCUACCGUGCCGCAUACUUCGGAAUGUUCGAUACCGCCAAGAUGGUCUUCGCUUCUGAUGGACAGAAACUCAACUUCUUCGCCGCUUGGGGAAUUGCUCAAGUUGUCACAGUCGGAUCUGGAAUCCUUUCCUACCCAUGGGACACUGUUCGUCGUCGUAUGAUGAUGCAGUCUGGACGCAAGGAUAUCCUCUACAAAAACACCCUCGAUUGCGCAAAGAAGAUCAUCCAAAACGAAGGAAUGUCCGCUAUGUUCAAGGGAGCCCUCUCCAACGUCUUCCGUGGAACCGGAGGAGCCCUCGUCUUGGCCAUCUACGACGAAAUCCAGAAGUUCCUUUAA
rnacentral:misc_RNA from 1 species